rfam:Pyrococcus horikoshii OT3 DNA, complete genome.
AUAGGCGAUGAUGAGCUCCAUCCCUACCUGAGUUGUGAUGAAUGUAGCGCGCUCUGAGCAACC